AACGAACGCUGGCGGCAUGCCUAACACAUGCCAGUCGAACGAUUGCCUUCGGGUGAUAGUGGCGCACGGGUGCGUAACGCGUGGGAAUCUGCCCUUAGGUUCGGAAUAACAGCUGGAAACGGCUGCUAAUACCGGAUGAUAUCGCGAGAUCAAAGAUUUAUCGCCUGAGGAUGAGCCCGCGUUGGAUUAGGUAGUUGGUGGGGUAAAGGCCUACCAAGCGGACGAUCCAUAGCUGGUCUGAGAGGAUGAUCAGCCACACUGGGACUGAGACACGGUCCAGACUCCUACGGGAGGCAGCAGUGGGGAAUAUUGGACAAUGGGCGCAAGACUGAUCCAGCAAUGCCGCGUGAGUGAUGAAGGCCCUAGGGUUGUAAAGCUCUUUUACCCGGGAAGAUAAUGACUGUACCGGGAGAAUAAGCCCCGGCUAACUCCGUG
rnacentral:rRNA from 1 species